rnacentral:rRNA from 1 species
AGCAUAGCCACGGUAAUACGGAGGGUGCAAGCGUUAAUCGGAAUUACUGGGCGUAAAGCGCACGCAGGCGGUCUGACAAGUCAGAUGUGAAAUCCCCGGGCUUAACCUGGGAACUGCAUUUGAAACUGUCAGGCUGGAGUCUUGUAGAGGGGGGUAGAAUUCCAGGUGUAGCGGUGAAAUGCGUAGAGAUCUGGAGGAAUACCGGUGGCGAAGGCGGCCCCCUGGACAAAGACUGACGCUCAGGUGCGAAAGCGUGGGGAGCAAACAGGAUUAGAUACCCCUGUAGUCCCUGUCUCUUAUACA